rnacentral:rRNA from 1 species
CGACGUGACUAGCGACGAUUCCGUGUCCCACGACUACUGCAGCGACUGUUGCUUCCGUUCCCGUAGUACGAUAAACAGUCAUGUUCCCCUCGCUUCUCUUACCGCUCCUGACACCGACUAAAUGACUUCCUUCGACAUGCACUACCAAAUAAAGAUGCCACUAACAAAAGAAGGACGGCUAAGGAGUUCUCCUAUACCCCGGAGAAGGGUAACCUCCGUAUAUACAUAAGGACUCAUAUAGAACGUACAUGACAGAACAGUAUCGUUCGUUGAACCCUGGUCGAAGUCUGUUUAUCAUACAAAGUCAAAACUUGGUUUGAUCCGAUGAGGACG